GGAAACUUGAAAACUAAUGUUGGAUCGAAAAAUAGACAUCCGAGAUUCGUCCACGUCAUCACGAGUAAAAAUUUUAAUCACGAUGAUGGACGAAUCUCGAACGUCUAUUUUUCGAUCCAACGGUAGUUUCUAAAUUUCC
rnacentral:pre_miRNA from 1 species